rnacentral:pre_miRNA from 1 species
UGGCUAUUUGGGUUCCUGGCACGAUGAUUUGAGAUUAAAAUCACAUUGCCGGGGAUUACCACAUAGCC